GCUCAGGACGAACGCUGGCGGCGCGCUUAACACAUGCAAGUCGAGCGAGAACCGGUCCUUCGGGACUGGGGAAAGCGGCGAACGGGUGAGUAACACGUGAGUAAUCCACCCUCGGCACCGGGAUAGCCCGGGGAAACCCGGAUUAAUACCGGAUGGCCCAGCAGCCUUUCGGGGCGGCUGGAAAAGGUAGCUUUGGCCUCCGGCCGAGGACGAGCUCGCGGCGGAUUAGCUUGUUGGUGGGGUAACGGCCUACCAAGGCGACGAUCCGUAGCUGGUCUGAGAGGACGAUCAGCCACACUGGGACUGAGACACGGCCCAGACUCCUACGGGAGGCAGCAGUGGGGAAUCUUGCGCAAUGGGCGAAAGCCUGACGCAGCGACGCCGCGUGGGGGAAGAAGGCUUUCGGGUUGUAAACCCCUUUCAGGAGGGACGAAGCUACUCGGGUUAAUAGCCCAGAGGGUGACGGUACCUCCAGAAGAAGCCCCGGCUAACUACGUGCCAGCAGCCGCGGUAAUACGUAGGGGGCAAGCGUUGUCCGGAUUUAUUGGGCGUAAAGAGCGUGUAGGCGGCCACGUAGGUCCGUUGUGAAAACUCGAGGCUCAACCUCGAGACGCCGAUGGAAACCACGUGGCUAGAGUCCGGAAGAGGAGAGUGGAAUUCCUGGUGUAGCGGUGAAAUGCGCAGAUAUCAGGAAGAACACCCGUGGCUAAGGCGGCUCUCUAGUACGGUACUGACGCUGAGACGCGAAAGCGUGGGGAGCGAACAGGAUUAGAUACCCUGGUAGUCCACGCCGUAAACGAUGGGUGCUAGGUGUGGGGGGUGUCGACUCCCUCCGUGCCGAAGCUAACGCA
rnacentral:rRNA from 1 species